CUCUCAGGUGAGUGUGCCUCUCAGGUGAGUGUGCCUCUCAGGUGAGUGUACCUCUCGGUGAGUUACCUCUCAGGUGAGUCUACCUCUCAGGUGAGUCUACCUCUCAGGUGAGUCUACCUCUCAGGUGGGUCUACCUCUCAGGUGAGUCUACCUCUCAGGUGAGUCUACCUCACAUGGGUCUCUGCUGUACACAUAUUUGUUCUUUUCCUUCAAGUAAAUCUCAGCACCCAAGUCGCUGACGUCACCUCCUACACUGACUAGCUCCUGACGUCACCUCCUACACUGACUAGCUCCUGACCUGACCCCUCAUUUAGAUGACCCUGUCAAUGACGUCAUAGACUAUGCAGGUAAAAUAGGAAUUCUACCAACCAAUUAGGUGAGCUCCUGACGUCAUUCCCCAGAAGUGACAAGCCAAUGAUUAUCGUACCGUCGUCUCUGACAACACUGUGACCAACAACCAUCACAGUAGUUAACAACCAUCACAGUAGUUAACGACCAUCACAGUAGUUAACAACCAUCAUAGUAGUUAACGACCAUCAUAGUAGUUAACAACCAUCACAGUAGUUAACGACCAUCACAGUAGUUAACAACCAUCAUAGUAGUUAACGACCAUCAUAGUAGUUAACGACCAUCACAGUAGUUAACGACCAUCACAGUAGUUAACGACCAUCACAGUAGUUAACGACCAUCAUAGUAGUUAACAACCAUCACAGUAGUUAACGACCAUCACAGUAGUUAACAACCAUCAUAGUAGUUAACGACCAUCAUAGUAGUUAACAACCAUCACAGUAGUUAACGACCAUCACAGUAGUUAACAACCAUCAUAGUAGUUAACGACCAUCAUAGUAGUUAACGACCAUCACAGUAGUUAACGACCAUCACAGUAGUUAACAACCAUCACAGUAGUUAACGACCAUCACAGUAACUAAUAUGUCAACUAUGCCACACAGACACAGACUCUUGGCACAUCGAGGGCGUGAACACCAUCAGCUCAGCCUCUAUGCCGCCCAGUUACGCCACCCUCCCUCGGGCCGCCCACCUGUACACCCACACUGCUAAUUACCAGCAGGUGUGUGGCAGCAGCAGUGUGCAGUACGCGGAGCUCCUGUUGGCGAAUGCCACCACAGCCGCGCCGCCUCACCACUGCCACCCACCACAGCAGCGGGUGGUAUAUGCCGCCCUCAGCCACCCACCACCACCACCCUCUCACCACCAUCAACACUCCUCUCCCUCCUCCGGCUCCGUUUACCCACACACAUCCACCAGCACCCCCACACACAUCACCCACCACCACCACAUCACCCCCACACACAUGACCCACCACUCACAACAGCACCUGCACCAACCACAGCAGCAACAGAGGGUCAACUGGACACCUUCAACCACGAAUAUAGUCAGAAGACAUUCACUCAGGCGUGAUCCUUAUAAGAGCGACAGAGAGGCCAGUGUCCCGCUUAUUGCUCCACAGAAAGAAAGCUCCGUGUAGGUGUUACCAACGGUCCGACCUCAGAACAACACAGUGUUACCAACGGUCCGACCUCACAACAACACAGUGUUACCAACGGUCCGACUCAACAACACAGUGUUACUAACGGUCUGACUUCAAACAACAACAGUGUUACCA